GCAAAUGGUGGAGGGUUAACCAUUUUCAAAUGCAUGGGACGUACAAUAGGAAAGUCAACAUCUCGUGUUCGUAGCACAGAAGAAUGGUCCCAAGCACAUUUAUAUGUGUUGACUAAUUGUGAGGAAGUGACGUCAUUUAUUGAAGAGCAUAAGCAAUCUAUAAGGGUUAAGCCUCGUAUUCGUGCACGAGAUGUAGAUUUGAUUCACAGAAGAGAAUUCAUUAGUUGGUUUGAAGAACGUAUUAUACAAAUGCGACAUGAAGGUCCAAUUUCUGAACACAUACUAUCAUUGUCUCGUGGACCAAGUACAUCAAUUACAUGUUAUAGAGGAUACAUCAUUAAUGGGUUCAGAUUUCACACAAGAG